rnacentral:rRNA from 1 species
CCCAACAGGGCUCUUUUGGGUCUUGUAAUUGGAAUGAGUACAAUUUAAAUCCCUUAACGAGGAACAAUUGGAGGGCAAGUCUGGUGCCAGCAGCCGCGGUAAUUCCAGCUCCAAUAGCGUAUAUUAAAGUUGUUGUGGUUAAAAAGCUCGUAGUUGAACCUUGGGCCUGGCUGGCCGGUCCGCCUCACCGCGUGUACUGGUCCGGCCGGGCCUUUCCCUCUGUGGAACCCCAUGCCCUUCACUGGGCGUGGCGGGGAAACAGGACUUUUACUUUGAAAAAAUUAGAGUGCUCCAGGCAGGCCUAUGCUCGAAUACAUUAGCAUGGAAUAAUGAAAUAGGACGCGCGGUUCUAUUUUGUUGGUUUCUAGGACCGCCGUAAUGAUUAAUAGGGACAGUCGGGGGCAUCAGUAUUCAAUGGUCAGAGGUGAAAUUCUUGGAUCCAUUGAAGACUAACUACUGCGAAAGCAUUUGUCAAGGAUGUUUUCAUUAAUCAGGAACGAAAGUUAGGGGAUCGAAGACGAUCAGAUACCGUCGUAGUCUUAACCAUAAACUAUGCCGACUAGGGAUCGGACGAUGUUAUUUUUCGACUCGUUCGGCACCUUACGAGAAAUCAAAGUGCUUGGGCUCCAGGGGGAGUAUGGUCGCAAGGCUGAAACUUAAAGAAAUUGACGGAAGGGCACCACCAGGGGUGGAGCCUGCGGCUUAAUUUGACUCAACACGGGGAACUCCGGGGGGCCC